rnacentral:rRNA from 1 species
UACAGAGGUCUCAAGCGUUGUUCGGAAUUACUGGGCGUAAAGGGUGCGUAGGUGGCGGGGUAAGUCAGGUGUGAAAUCUCGGAGCUCAACUCCGAAACUGCACUUGAUACUGCCUUGCUCGAGUACUGGAGAGGAGAUUGGAAUUUACGGUGUAGCAGUGAAAUGCGUAGAUAUCGUAAGGAAGACCAGUGGCGAAGGCGAAUCUCUGGACAGUUACUGACACUGAGGCACGAAGGCCAGGGGAGCAAACAGG